rnacentral:rRNA from 1 species
AGAGUUUGAUCCUGGCUCAGGAUGAACGCUGGCGGCGUGCCUAAUACAUGCAAGUCGAGCGAACAGAUAAGGAGCUUGCUCCUUUGACGUUAGCGGCGGACGGGUGAGUAACACGUGGGUAACCUACCUAUAAGACUGGAAUAACUCCGGGAAACCGGGGCUAAUGCCGGAUAACAUUUAGAACCGCAUGGUUCUAAAGUGAAAGAUGGUUUUGCUAUCACUUAUAGAUGGACCCGCGCCGUAUUAGCUAGUUGGUAAGGUAACGGCUUACCAAGGCAACGAUACGUAGCCGACCUGAGAGGGUGAUCGGCCACACUGGAACUGAGACACGGUCCAGACUCCUACGGGAGGCAGCAGUAGGGAAUCUUCCGCAAUGGGCGAAAGCCUGACGGAGCAACGCCGCGUGAGUGAUGAAGGUCUUCGGAUCGUAAAACUCUGUUAUUAGGGAAGAACAAAUGUGUAAGUAACUAUGCACGUCUUGACGGUACCUAAUCAGAAAGCCACGGCUAACUACGUGCCAGCAGCCGCGGUAAUACGUAGGUGGCAAGCGUUAUCUGGAAUUAUUGGGCGUAAAGCGCGCGUAGGCGGUUUCUUAAGUCUGAUGUGAAAGCCCACGGCUCAACCGUGGAGGGUCAUUGGAAACUGGGAAACUUGAGUGCAGAAGAGGAAAGUGGAAUUCCAUGUGUAGCUGUGAAAUGCGCAGAGAUAUGGAGGAACACCAGUGGCGAAGGCGACUUUCUGGUCUGUAACUGACGCUGAUGUGCGAAAGCGUGGGGAUCAAACAGGAUUAGAUACCCUGGUAGUCC